rnacentral:rRNA from 1 species
AUUGUAGUCAUAUGCUUGUCUCAAAGAUUAAGCCAUGCAUGUCUGAGUACGUGCCGCAAAACUAUGGCGAAACCGCGAAUGGCUCAUUAAAUCAGCUACGAUUCAUUGGAUCGUACCCCACUACUUGGAUAACUGUGGCAAUUCUAGAGCUAAUACAUGCAGCAGAGCUCCGACCCCUUCGCGGGGGGACGAGCGCUUUUAUUAGACCAAAACCGACCGGACGGAAACGUCCGCCCCUCGGUGGUGACUCUGGAUGACUUUGGGCUGAUCGCACGGGCGCGCCGGCGACGUAUCUUUCAAGUGUCUGCCUUAUCAACUGUCGACGGUAGGUCAAGUGCCUACCGUGGUCGCAACGGGUAACGGGGAAUAAU